rnacentral:lncRNA from 1 species
AUAUGUUAUGAUGAAGCAUGAUUGACCAUAUUGAUUUCAUGCUGCAUUAUAUUGAUUAAUUUUGAUACUACAUGAUUAUAUAUUUUCUUAUCGAAAUUAGAAUAUGAAAUAUGAUUUAUGAAGAAUUCUGAUAUAAGAACAAUAUGAAUUGACAACCUAACUAUGUAAAGGACCCCGCCAAUGGGAGCAUAUACGCUGGUAAUUAAUUUAUCCUGAGGGUUUAUGUCACCAGAGAGACCAGCGAUAUAUUGUCAGAGAGACCAGCGAUUUCUUAGGACUUUACUGCCAGAUGAUUCGCAGCUCACCAUAAGAAGAUACGUGGUAUUAUGACCCUG